rnacentral:lncRNA from 1 species
AUACGCCACGACAUGUAACGAAUUAUUUUUUAUUUAAAAUGUAAAUGUUGAUGAUGUACGAUGAAUCAUGUAAGAUGUUUUCGUAAAAGGUAUGAUGAUUUAACGUCAAGAGUUCAUCAACUAUUGAAACAAGUAUUGUACUUGCGUUGUGUAGGAUGUUAAUUACACAAAACAAUCUUUUUUUACUCGUUCAAAUGAGAAUAAAAGUGAAAAUAUAAAUACCAUUAUUUUAACACGUAAACUUUGAUCACUGAAGCAAAACAGAGAAGACUAAGAAGAAUAAGAGUGACAACCAAACGUGAGUAAGCUAAACCACAAAUUGGUUACUCCACCGAGUACGGUGAUUCAUUUUCACAUGGGUAUUAUUGUACACCUUUUUGUAAAUUUUGUUUGGAAGAAAAAGUGAUGAAUCGCUUGAUACUGCUGCUGAACUCUUCUGUUCGUACAUGAGCCAUAAAGUACACGUAAUGUCAUUUGAGCCUACGCUGGUAGCAUUUUAAAUGAAAGGUCGUCGCAAUAUAAUAUAUAUAUAUGUAUUUAACAUUCAGCAUUUAUGUAUUGCAGUUGCCAGUCAGGAGUGAAAUAUCAAUGUAUGCCAACCAUGGAUCAACUAUCGAUAAAUAUUUUCACUUAAGAGAUUAAUAACUACUAGUAAAUAGCUAGUUAAAUAAAAAUUAGGUAUCGGCAUCGACUGUCACCGGAAGUUAAGAGAAAAAUUCUGUAGCAGAUAAACCGAGUUAGAAUAUUCUCAACAUUCUUUAAUUACGUAUGGACUUAAAAGGGAAAAAAUGAUCGGGGAUGCCGAUCGCUGACCCAUAAAAGUAUGUAACACACCUACUAUUAUACUUGAGAAGUAAACGGAAAACAUUUAAACGAGAAUAUAUUUGAAUAUCAUGUACAACACCACGGUGCGAUAUAUAUUUAUUGACGUAUAACUAUGGUUGUAUGCAGUGAGCCCAAGGCAGUUUUAAUUCAUUUUAGAUUAGACGUGAGUAAACGCUAAAAGCUUUAACGAUUAGAUCGUUCUAGGAUGAUAAGUGAUAUUUAAGUUACAGCUGAUAAUAAUAAUAAUGAUAAUUAAAUAAUGUUUGAGGAGUUUAUCGAAAGUAAACAAUUGUUUAUUGCCAGCUUAGGAUUUCUUUCUUGAUAAGGGAUGUGCUUUUGAUUGGCAGUAACCUUGAGGUCUUCAAGGCUAGUAAGUCCUCAGUUGCAGUUAAAGAAAGAUCUUCCGGAUAUAAAAGAAAGUUGGACGUGGACUUGGAUGGUUAUUGUUAUUAUCCACGCUGCAUAUUUGUAUACUGUACGGGUCGGUGCAACCAAUGUGUACUGCUCUAUGCAUUAUAGGUAGAUAUAAAUACAUAGAUAUGUAGAUGUAGAGUGAGGACUUGGGAACCCCAUAACUAUAAUUAGAGAAGAGUUACCACACUCGCAGUUCAUCGACCGUUACGCCUAUCCGUGCGCGCCAUUUCGCAUUCGAUGCAUCCAAGGAUUUCGUUUCGAGUCUUCAUAUGUAUUAAUAAAUUUAUAUAAACAUAUAUUAACCAUCCACGCGAUACGUCAACCCGUCUUUGCAUUCAUUUCCUCAGCUAUUCUUUGCUGAUUGUUGUGAUACACCUUGAGCAAUUGUUAUAAGUUAUAAAAAGUAACUUGUUAAAUAUUGAGCAAUUUUUUUUUU